UGGCGGACGGGUGAGUAAUGUCUGGGAAACUGCCUGAUGGAGGGGGAUAACUACUGGAAACGGUAGCUAAUACCGAAUAACGUCGCAAGACCAAAGAGGGGGACCUUAGGGCCUCUUGCCAUCGGAUGUGCCCAGAUGGGAUUAGCUAGUAGGUGGGGUAACGGCUCACCUAGGCGACGAUCCCUAGCUGGUCUGAGAGGAUGACCAGCCACACUGGAACUGAGACACGGUCCAG
rnacentral:rRNA from 1 species